UACGGGGGGGGCAAGCGUUGUUCGGAAUUACUGGGCGUAAAGCGCGUGUAGGUGGCGAUGUAAGUCGGGUGUGAAAUCCCUUGGCUUAACCAAGGAAGUGCAUUCGAUACUGUGUCGCUUGAGUAUCGGAGGGGUCGGCGGAAUUCCCGGUGUAGAGGUGAAAUUCGUAGAUAUCGGGAGGAACACCUGUGGCGAAGGCGGCCGACUGGACGAUCACUGACACUGAGACGCGAAAGCGUGGGUAGCAAACAGG
rnacentral:rRNA from 1 species